rnacentral:rRNA from 1 species
AUUGAACGCUGGCGGCAUGCUUUACACAUGCAAGUCGAACGGAAACAUGGAGAAGCUUGCUUCUCUGAUGUCGAGUGGCGAACGGGUGAGUAAUACAUCGGAACAUGUCCUUUUGUGGGGGAUAACUACUCGAAAGAGUAGCUAAUACCGCAUAAGACCUAAGGGUGAAAGCGGGGGCUCUUCGGACCUCGCGCAGAUGGAGUGGCCGAUGACUGAUUAGCUAGUUGGUGGGGUAAAGGCCUACCAAGGCGACGAUCAGUAGCUGGUCUGAGAGGACGACCAGCCACAUUGGGACUGAGACACGGCCCAAACUCCUACGGGAGGCAGCAGUGGGGAAUUUUGGACAAUGGGGGGAACCCUGAUCCAGCCAUGCCGCGUGCAGGAAGAAGGCCUUCGGUUGUAAACUAGCUUUGUUAGGUACGAAAAGGUAGGAGUACUAAUAAUAGUCUACUGAUGACGGUACC